rnacentral:rRNA from 1 species
CCUACGGUGAGCAGCAGUGGGGAAUAUUGGACAAUGGGCGAAAGCCUGAUCCAGCCAUGCCGCGUGUGUGAAGAAGGCCUUCGGGUUGUAAAGCACUUUCAGUGGGGAAGAAAGCCUUGGGGCUAAUACCCUCGAGGAAGGACAUCACCCACAGAAGAAGCACCGGCUAACUCCGUGCCAGCAGCCGCGGUAAUACGGAGGGUGCGAGCGUUAAUCGGAAUUACUGGGCGUAAAGCGCGCGUAGGCGGUCUGAUAAGCCGGUUGUGAAAGCCCCGGGCUCAACCUGGGAACGGCAUCCGGAACUGUCAGGCUAGAGUGCAGGAGAGGAAGGUAGAAUUCCCGGUGUAGCGGUGAAAUGCGUAGAGAUCGGGAGGAAUACCAGUGGCGAAGGCGGCCUUCUGGACUGACACUGACGCUGAGGUGCGAAAGCGUGGGUAGCAAACAGGAUUAGAUACCCUGUAGUC